rnacentral:rRNA from 1 species
UGCGCAGGCGGUUGAGUAAGACAGAUGUGAAAUCCCCGAGCUUAACUCGGGAAUGGCAUAUGUGACUGCUCGACUAGAGUGUGUCAGAGGGAGGUGGAAUUCCACGUGUAGCAGUGAAAUGCGUAGAUAUGUGGAAGAACACCGAUGGCGAAGGCAGCCUCCUGGGACAUAACUGAGCUCAGGCACGGAGGCCAGGGGAGCGAAAG